rfam:Parvimonas micra strain KCOM 1535, complete genome.
AUGCCUUAUGAUAAAGCUAUAAUUAUUUCAUCAUAAUAACCUAAAUUUAAUUAUCAAAAAGGAAUUAUGAUAUAAU